rnacentral:misc_RNA from 1 species
GAAAUGCGAUAAGUAAUGCGAAUUGCAGAUCUCCGUGAGUCAUCGAAUCUUUGAACGCACAUUGCGCCCUCGGGUAUUCCCGAGGGCAUGCCUGUCCGAGCGUCAUUAUCCACCAUCAAGCCCGGCUUGCGUGUUGAGCCCCGCACCGUCCCCCGCGACGGUGGGCUCGAAAGAUGUUGGGCGCCCGCGCGGUGGUCGGUGCAGCGAGCUCCCGAGCACGCACCUGACGACCUCUCCGGGCGUCGGCCAACCCCCCAUCUUCUCAGGUUGACCUCGGAUCAGGUAGGAAUACCCGCUGAACUUAA